GCGCUCUUAGCUCAGUCGGAUAGAGCAACAGCCUUCUAAGCUGUGGGUCGAAGGUUCGAAUCCUUCAGGGCGCGCCA
rnacentral:tRNA from 1 species